AAGAAAGGGGGAGGGGUGGCCUUGUAUGUGAAGGAUAGCAUAAAAUCUAGCCUAAUAAAAGUUAGUUAGGCAAACAUAGAGUCCGUUUGGGCUACGUUAGAAUUUGGUAAUCACACAGUAACUCGUGUAGGUGUGAUUUAUAGGCCCCCAGGACAAAUUGAAGAGUUAGAUAAUCUACUAGUUGAGGAAAUAGCUAAAAUGACAAUGAAG